UUCCUACGGGGGGCAGCAGUGGGGAAUAUUGGACAAUGGGGGGAACCCUGAUCCAGCGACGCCGCGUGAGUGAAGAAGUAUUUCGGUAUGUAAAGCUCUAUCAGCAGGGAAGAAAGAAAUGACGGUACCUGACUAAGAAGCCCCGGCUAACUACGUGCCAGCAGCCGCGGUAAUACGUAGGGGGCAAGCGUUAUCCGGAUUUACUGGGUGUAAAGGGAGCGUAGACGGCAGGGCAAGCCAGAAGUGAAAACGCAGAGCUUAACUUUGCGACUGCUUUUGGAACUGCCCAGCUAGAGUACAGGAGG
rnacentral:rRNA from 1 species